GUUAAUUUGAACAAGAGUUUGUUACUUUUUCAACUGAAUUUUUAGUUUGUUUAUUAGCAAAAUAUAUUAUCUCAUAAACAUUUAUACAUAAUGUAGGCAAAUUCUAUGGGGUGGAGUGUGGGGGUUAUGGGGGGUGGGGAGGAGUCCCAUGUGAAACGCCACAUAAACUACUUGGUUUCCCUGUUUGUUCCGGAUCUAGGUUGAUAUAUAUAGCUCCUUGUGGGAGUGAUAAGUGCAUGAGUAAUAUGUUGUGGCUGAUGCAUUAUUUAUGUUAUCAUGUUAUCUUCCUUAUGUGAUCUAGUAUUUGAUCAACUUCUCGUUUAUUAUUCCUGUGUUAUAGUUCAUGUGUUGUUUGUAAAUAUUUUCCCUUUAAUAAAAGUCAAGUAUCAAAAGAAGUGAUAAUUUUUCCUUAUGUAAGUUUAAAAAGAAUAUUUCUUUUCCAAGAACAUGAGUAUCAAGACAAAUAUAUUACUUUUCUUCUUCAACUCGCAUGUAACGAUAAAAUUGAAGAAACCAUCUGUUUUCACUUGCAUUCUCCAAAUAGAUGUUUAUGCUUCUCUCAAUCUUAUAGAAAUAAGACCAAAUGCAGUUGUGCUACUGCAUCAACAAUCGUUCUGUCUAUUUUCUUAAACAUCAAACACAUCAUUUUUGGGUAAAGUAUUACCCAAAACUCACGGUUUGAUAGAAGAGAUACUAUUGAGGAUCAAACAGAAUGCUUAUCCAAUAAUUGGGUGAUUCAUGAUGAAAACAAAAUGGCAAGCCUUUUUUGCUUAGUGGAUUUGAGAUACAUUAAUAUAUAUGUUAACAAAAUUUCUUAAUAUAACAAGCUUUAAGCUUAAGCUACUGAAUUUUGUUGAACCCGUAUCUUCAAAUAAUGUUACUUCACCCCAGGUCUUCAAGCUUGAGAUACUGAUAUGACCAAGGAGAGAAUUAGAAUACAGCUACUCACAACAUCAAACAAAAUACGAGUUAUACUACUACAUCAAUAAUCAUAUUUCAUUUCACUUUGUAAUGUUGCCAUAUCUUUGACAAUAUAUUAUUGAAAAAUCUCUUCAUAUUUUUUGUAAAAAUCUCAUGAUAUUUUGUUGGAAAUCUCUACCAAGAGAUUUUAUUUGGGGCCAAAGUUUGAUUGACAUCAUCCAUGACAUCAAAUACUUGGACAACAAGAACUUUUUUGCUAUAAAUAGAUGUGUUUCUUUCACCAUAGACACACCAAUUUGAUAGGAUCUUAGUUGUUGCUUUUUUUUUUUUUAGAGAAUAUUUGUGAGAGAGUUGUGUUGGAAAAAACUUGGGUGAAACAUUUUUAAGAGUGAUCUCGUGAUGCUAUUCACUUGGGAUAUUUGAGAUAUGAGAGUAUUUAAUUAUUCUAAUUUUGUAUUCUCUUUUAUUCCCUUGUACUCUUUCUUAUUCCAUUAUAUUUAGUAAAAUUGCUCCUCCUUUUGGUAGUGGACGUAGGUCAAGUUAACCGAACUACGUUAAAUUUGUGCCUCCUUUGUUUCCUCAACUUAUAGUUAUUAUUGUCUUUGUUAUUGUCUUUAAUUGAUUACUUUGUUUAAUUCUGCACUAUACGGGAUUCCAUAUCCUAGCACACUUCAACAUCAAAAACAUUAUUUUACGGUAGGGUCGAUUGGACAUUAAACUUGACAUGGCAAAAACUUACGACAUGCAACUGGAAUUUCUUAAUAGCUGUUAAUUGCUGGCUAUGAGAAGGUUUGGUUUUGAAGAAAAAUGGAUAAAGAUCUUAUUCGGAGAUCUAUCACAAAUGUUUGGUUCUCAGUGUCAUAAAUGGUGUCAUGAGAAGUUUUUUUUUUUCAUUUUCUAACCGUCAGGAGAAGAUUUUUUUUCAUUUUGUACUAGAGGAGUUUGCCAUAGCACUUUCCUUUAACUUUUGGUGAAACCUUCUUAUCAAACAAGACUCCUCAUGCAGUCUCCCAUCUCCUUAUAUAAAGAUCCAAGUUACAUGAAACUUUCUUUGGGACUCUCUGUGUAUGAAGUCUUACUUGCACAAUAGCCGCAUGUACACGUGGCUUAACUUGUAUUCCAAGUAUUUUUUCUUAAUUCUUCUCAACUUGAAUCCUUAACACUCCAAGGUCUGUCAUCCACAAAUCUUAUCAACGAAAACUAUGUCAUCCACAAAUAACAUACACUAUAAUACAUCACCAUGAAUUUCCAUAGACCAUCAGAUGAAGCUUAUCUGCUCUUUUCCAUCUUAAGAACAUUGGUUUAGGAUGAUUAGGAAACAUGAACAUGAUUGACUUAAUUAUCUCCAACUGAGGCUUCCUAGAUUCUGCUCUAUAUUUUCUUAUAUCUACCUACUGAUUACCUCAUUUACGAGAGAGGACUAUUUAAGAUUUUCUAAAUUAGAGUUCAAUAAAAAUUAUUUAAGGUAUCUUGUCAAGGUAUGAAAAGAUAUAACAUUAGUUGAAAAAAUGUAGCAUCAAACUGGAAAAUAUAGAACAUUUGUUGAACAUUAAAACUAAUUAUAACACCCCAUAUUUUCGGGCUAAAAUUCUAACCAUCAUUCCUUCGUGUGUAAACCUGAUCCCCAUAUUUUUUAAGUAAAUAUAAAUGUAAUGAUAAUUUACCUAGUGUUUAAUAUGCUUUCGUGGCGAUGAAUGUUCAUUGGAAACAGUUAGAGCAAAGUUGAGUUAAGAACUUUUGUUAUCGACUGAAUUUUUGUAUUCAAUCCUACAAGGAUAAAUUUGAACGUCCGUAACUUCUAAAAUAUAUGGAAUUUCGGAGGUCAUGACCCACUAAAUGAAUGAUAAUUGAGUAUCUUUCCAAUGCCACCGAUUCUGCCUUAAUCUGAUACUCGAGCAAUAAGUUUUGAGCAUUUUCACUAGCAAACCAGUGAGUGUCCUUGUUUAGGGUGUGGAACGCCCUGUGUGCUCCAUGAUAAGAGUGUGGAAUGCUCUAUAUACUUCGUGUUAAGGGCGUGGCACACUCAUAUGCCCAGAGACUCUAAAAUAUUUCUCUUUCAUUUUUCGAUGACAAACUAGUUAUUUACGUCCAAAAUCAUCCUACAACUAAUAGUAAUGCAUUUUCCCUCAUCCUGUAACCCAAAUACAUGAUUUCUCUUCUCCCAAACCAUCUAGAACAUCAUAUAGGGUUUAUUCUCCCACAUUCAAGCUUCCAAGGAUCCAAAUUCAAGCUCUUCUCAAAUUUCAUCUGUCAAAAAGCACAUUGGACACUCUUUAUUUUAAUUUUUGUUAUAUUGCAUCAAUUUACAUGAUUUCUUACGUUCUUUUGAAUGCUUGAUUAAUCUAGGAUUGAGGGUUUUUGAGUUGAUUAAAACUACCAUUGUAUUUUCCUUGAUUUAAAUGGUUUAUUCAUGGUUUGAAUGGUGAUUUGCAAAAUGAAUUUUUGUCCCAUGGUAAUGGUGGAAAUUGGCAAUAUGAUUUUCAUAAUGUUUAUGGAUUUUGGCAUGAUAAUGACAUGAACCUCAACCCACAUCGUAGUUUUUCUUUGAACAAGGAUCCUACAGAGUUUAACUCGUCUUUUAAAAUAUUGCAUUCUAUUAAAUGGUAAAAAUAUAAAGAGGUUUUAAAACGCCCUUGGGGGAUAUAGUGUUGGAUUUUAAAAUGGAAUUCGGAGUCAAAUGGUUAAAUGGUUAUGAUAUGGCAUAAUGGGAAUAGCUUUCAAUUCAAUUGGUAUGACAAUACCAAUUUGAAAAUGCCGUAAUAAAAGACUUUAUGGUUAGUGGUAUGCGAAAAAUAUUUUAGUUAGGCAUAAAGAAAAUUGUGUAGCUUCGCUGAGUAGGUGUAGUCUAGGGGGAACCAAUACUAAAAAUCACAUUUCCUAACGCUGGGGAUCUAUGACCACUAUGUCUUCUUUACAAAGUAUAGUUUUUGAUGGCUAUUGACUAUGGAUGAUGUUAGCUUUAUUUCUCCGGUCUACGCGGCAAACAUGGACCGAGGCACUUCUGGCAGGGGGUGUUGGACCCAUAAAAUCCAUAGGUGCCUGAAGAUCAUUAUGAGCUACAUAGUUUAGGAUUAAAUUUUUAAAUUGUCAUGUCUCAUGCCCCAGUAUCCUAUUACAUCUAUAUUUGUUGUUCAUAUGAUUUAUGACUUAAUUUUGGUAAAUUAUUUCCUUGGGUUGCAUAGGGGAACAAGAAAAGCCCUUGGGACAUACAUCAUGAAAUAAUGGACCGUCCAAGGAUGAUCAGUAUGGAGAGUAUUGGCAUACAACCCAAGAAACCCAUAGGUAGUAUAAGUCAUCUAGUCACCCACGGGCUAUAUGGGUCCCACUUCCUCUACCGAAAGGGCCCUAGUGAGUGUUAGCCGCUUUAACAGAGGUUAGGCUAGAGUCACAAAAAGACUAAAGUCAUCAUAUAUAUUAUACUCAUGUUAAGGACAUAAUUUGGUCAUCCAAUUAAGGUAUUACAUUCCUAUGCCGACAAAUAUAGGUUUCGGGUAUUGGUCACAAUGACUAUACCUUCACAGUGAGCUAUAUAAUUCCCUUUAGAGCCCAAUUAAAACAGUUUGCACCUAACAUUAAUCAUGGAGUCAUUCAUUAGGAAUAUUCACAUUUCUCUAGUCAUACUAAGACUUGCAAGUCAUUCAUACUAUGAUAAACAUUAUUAUAAAACAUUAAAGACUCCUUAACUUCAUCACUCAAAAUCAUGCUUAUCAUCAUCAUUAGAUUGCAUAAAAUCUCAAAGCAGUCAUAAAGUUUAAUACUUUAAAUAUUUCAAAAGAGAUGGGGUAUCAUCUUUGUUCAUCAUCUUCUUGCAAAGCCUUUUCAAAGGACUUAAAAUUCAUGAUUUGAAUCAUUCAUAACUUUCCAUGUUCCAAAUAUAAGUUAAGUUAUCAAGAAUCCUUGUUUAUAAUCAAAUUAAUCGUGUGGGUUGAGGUUUCUGAAAUUAACUUCAUACAAGUUUCAUAAUCAUUGUGAAAAAACAAUUUGUCAAUUUCCCCAUUACUAUGAGACAAAUGUAGUUCACAAUCCAACAUUUAAACCAUGAAUGAUUCAUUAAAAAUAAGGAAAAACAAUUCAAGUGUUAAACAACCGAAAAUCCUCAACCCUAGUUUGAGUCAACAUUCAAGAAUAUGUAAUAAAUUAUGCAAAUUUAAACAAUAGUACAAUAAAUAAAAUAGGGAGUGUACAACCUGCCUUUUUUACGGAAGCAAUUUGAGAAGAACUUGAGUUUGAAGCCUUUUAAAUUGAACCUUGUGAAGAAACCCUAGAUUUGUUUCUCUUGGGAGUGGAGAGGGGAAAGAGCGAUGACAAACUGAUAUCUAAUGAGUAAAUAGAAUUUAACGAGUGAUUUAUGUCAUGAUGGUAGGGUGUGAGGUGAGGAAAAGGACAAAAUACCCCUAAAAUUUCAAAAAAGAUUGCAGGAAUUUCUCAGUUGACAACUAAGUUAAUAUCCUGUCAGUUUAGAGACAACUGAUCACCCUAGUCAUCAAUCUCCAUCUAGAUUUGGCCAUUUACUUGUCAAGGUUAACGGCUUGAGUAGACAUCUUUUCAACUUAGUCGUCACCUUCUGGUAGGCAUACACUCCCAAGUAAAAUGAGCAUAAUUUUCUACAAUGAUAUCAGAUUAAUGUGAAAUAACAUGCAAUGGAAUGAAUAUUUGAAGAUCAUUCGUUUGGUAUAUAGUAGGAUACCUAAAUCUUUAUAUUAUAGGAUUAAUGAUCAUUUUAAGUUUACCCAAGUAGGAGAGUUCACUUAAACUCAAUCGAUAGAGAAGUUCUCAACUCAUCUUUGAGUUAGGACAUUUUUAUGAUCUCAAUUCAUCACCAAAGAUGUUCUCACACCAGUGAAUUGAUCGUCGCACUUAUAUUGACAUAGAAUUAUUUGGUUCAAGUUUAUACAUGUAGGGAUGACUCUUUGAAUUCUUCCCUGAAUAUGUAGGUGCUACAGUUUCUCUAUAUCUAAUUCACAAGAAUCCAAGUAGAAAUUUGUGUCUACAAAGUACUACUUUGUCUCAACAAAAGGAUUGAUAUCCACAAUAAUUUAACAACUUCACUAUACUUUAUAUAAUUUAUACAUUGAUGUAAAGUAGAUGACAUCACCCUAUUUUCAUGAAUCUAGAGGAGUCCAAGAAGUAAGUUGAAUGAUAUCUUCGUAUCUAUAACAUGAAUCAAAAUGUUUGAAUUCAUGUUGCCAGUGGUCAAUCUGAGAAAAAUCUUCCCCAGGGCCCAUUGUCCUCCUUGAUUGAAGACUUAGAUCGUUAUGUUGCACUUUGAUGCUUUAUCAAUAGAGAUUCCAAGCCUUCUGAGUACCCUCUUCAGCAUGAUAUUGACUAUCGAACCAUCAUCAAUCAAUAUUAGAUUGAAAUGUUAUUCUCAAAUAACUCAUACGAGAAAAGGUUGUUUAUGUAGUUUAGACCCAAAAAAAAAUCAUUAUCUGUGGGGGAAGUUGUAGAAAAACAUAAUGGGACUUAUCUAUUAGCAUGAUAUUCUAGUGCUAUUAGUGGACAACACUCACUUUGCUUUUCGUUAUUUUCCCUAUGACGGAAAUUACAUUCGUAUCACUAAUUUGACUAUCUUUAAGGAAUUUUUCAUCGAAAGAACUUAUGCAAUGUAAUAGGCCUCGAACGUUCUAAGGCAAUGAAUCAUCAUUCUUCUUUCUAGUACCAAACUUAAAAUUUUGUAAUGGUCGUAGAUGCUCCACGUUACUCCUCAUUACUCUUGGCUUAGGAAGUUCUAUCCUCAAAAAUGCUUGAUAUCUCCUUUUCUUAUGAGAAACCAAGGUUGAAUUGAACUAUCAUUAUCUUUAGAAUUGUCAUUUGUCUAUAGUGAAACUUUAAGAGUUUUCCUUGGAAAAUCUACCUCAACCGACUCAAAACUUCCAAAUUUCAAGAAGAUUGAGCUUGGUAUAGUCUACGACAUUGAACACUUUUCUUUCUUGGGUACAACAUUGUCACAACCCAAACUGAGGCCCUGAUCGCAACGAGCAUCUCGAAACGUGAAGGAGCGAGCACCUUUUGCUAUCUGGCAAUCAUGCACACCAUUCAUAUACUUUGAAUAAAUGUGAAACAAUAAACAAGCGGAACCAUGGUCAUUUUUUGAGUUCAACUGAACUAUACAGAAUUUAAUUUUUAAACAUUCGAAAACCACAUGAAAACUAGUCUGUGAAAUCUCUAGCAAUAUGAAAAUGAACAUCUAUUUGACAACUGGGACAAAGCCCUAUUCAGACAAUGAAAGAUAAAUAAAAUAGCAAUUUUCCAACAACCAUGGCCUUCCAAAAUAAGGGAAGAUCACCAACUGUGAACUACAGACAAACAAUCUACUGCUUAGUGGGACCUCGAGACUGUACCUCAGAUCCUGAAAAAUAGGGGGUCGGUAAAAAUGUAUUAGUACGUAGAGAAAUCAAAAAUAAUGUACUUUUAUACAACAUAAGAUAGAGAAUUUAUAAACCACACUACAUACAAUAUAUGAAAACACAUGGGCAUACUUAAAAGACUUCAAAAUAUUUCGUUGAAAAUACGACACACUCUUUGUCUUACUUCUGAGCUAGGUGGUACACCCUACAAUUACGAUAUUCUAUGGGCUAUAUGGAAUCCGCCCUUGACUCGGCGGACAAACCCCCAACUCAUGUUUUCCACAAAGGUUGGAGUUUCUGAUUCUGAUACACCACAGGGCACUAAGCCAGCAUAUAAUCCAUUUUUGGGGAUAUAAUAACCCGUAUCGGCAAAAAAUGGAUUCGAGAAAUGAGUUUUUAGAAAUCGUGCCUUAUUUGGGUAAUCACCUAACAUAUCUUAGCCCAUUUUUAACAUUUUAAACAUGAACCUUUCUGAAACCAAAUUUUGAAAGUAUGAAUAAUAUCUGACUUCUAUUCUGUUCUGAGUCUGUUAUGGCAUUAUCUGUCUUGGUAUCGUCAUACCAAGACUUGCAGGUCAUAUAUUCUAAGACAUAUAUUAUCAUGAUACAAAACUUUCAUUCAAAACAAAGUGUUUGGACCACCAAAUCAUGCAAACAUUACAAAAGAAUUCUUCUAUUGAAGUACAUGAAAAUUUAUGUAAUGAUUCUCUCUUUUAAUUCUUAAACAUGUGGUGGUCAUUUACUUCAUAGCAAAACAUGCAAUUCUUUCAAUUAUCAUCUUUAAUACUAACAUACAAGAAAUAUCCCUAUCUUCAAUUCACAACCAACAUAAAGUUCAUAAAUGAUAGUAAACCCUUGGUUCAUGCUUUAAGACAUGGAAUUGAGUAACCCAUACCUUUUAAAUCAAGAAAUAACACAAUGAAAGAGGGAAAUAUGUUAUUCAUUCUCUCAAUUCAUAUUUCAAAACUGAACACACAUACAUACAUAUACACAACUAAAAAUUCAAGUCUAAGGGAAGGCCUCAAGACCAAAAUAUUCGCAAUGCAUACUUCUUAAUGUAAUUCGAAACCCUUCAUAAACAUAUGAUUUAUCAACAUUCAAAACCUUACUAAAAAGAUUUCAUCAUACCCAAUUUGUUUUGGAAAACCCCACUUACCUUUGAUUGCUUAGUUUGAAGAAUAGAAUCUGAAUCUUGACAGUUUCUUGGAAAUCUUGAACUUAAAGGUUGAUUCUCAAUCUUUGGGAGAGAAGCUAGGGUUUUGUUUUAAAGGAAUUGAAGUAAAUUUUGGCAUACUAUGCCCUAAUCACAACUUAAUUUCGUGUUAUGGUUGAGAUAGAAUAAGAGAAAAAGACUGAAAUACCGUUCUGGACACGAAAAAGUUAUUAAAACAAAUUGGGCACCCAACGCGUUAAGUGAUGCACUGUGUCGUUCCCUACUAAUGUGAUUCCUGGCACGAUCCAUCUACAUCAUGUUGGCGCACUGUUUUUAUCCUCGAAACAUGUCUCAAAUGUCAUCCGAAUAAUAUGAAAUUUCCCUAAGAUAGGAAUAUUGAUUUAAAAAUCAUUGAAGUUUAGGAGAUUAGAAUAUGACUAAGUCCUUUUUAACACUGAAAAAAAUUUCAGGUUCUAAGUCCUCUGUUCAUGCUACUAAGGGUGGUACUAAGCCGAGAAUGCUACAGGGCGUUACAUUAUCCCCCCUUGCUACAUUCAUCCUUGAAUGAUGGCUCGGGACUCUGACAAGCACAAUUUCAAGCACACUAUGGAAAAUACAAAGAGAAUAGUAUGUGAUUCGUACCUUCUAUGUCGCCAUCCACAGUCUCAAAGAUGUUUAGGUAUCUAGUACACAUGUCAUCUUCUGACUCCCAAGUAGCUCCCUCCACUUUCUGAUUCUUCCACAAUACCUUAAUCAAAACUAAUUCCUUGCUUCUCAGCUUCAGAACUUGGUGAUCAAAAAUGGAAAUGGGUUCUUCUUCAUAUGAAAAAGGAGUCUUUCACAUUAAUCUUCUCUACAGGUAAUACUAGGGAAUGAUAUCCUAUGUACUUUACCAACAUGGACACAUGGAAUAUUUGAUGUACAGAAGCCAGGCUCGUGGGAAAAUCUGACUCAUAAGCAACCUCACCUAUCCUUCUCAUAAUCUAAUAUGGUCCUAUAACGAGGUCUAAGAUUCCCUUUCUUUCCAAAAUGCAUGGCUCCCUUUUUAGGGGAGACCUUUAGGAACACCCAAUCAUCAACCUCGAAUCCUAAAUCUUUCCUUAUAACAUUGGCAUAAGACUUCUGGCUACUCUUGGCAGUCUUAAGUCACUCCCUAAUGAUCUUCACUUUCUUCGUCGCUUGAUGAACAAUGUAAGUCCCAAAUAAGCAAGCUUCACCCACUUCAUAGCAUCCAAUUGGUGACCUACCUAUUCACUUAUAAAGUGUUUCAAAAUUAUCCAUCUGAAUAUGAGAAUGGUAGCUAUUAUUGUAGGUGAAUUCUAUCAAUGACAAAUGAUCCACCUAACUUUCUUUGAAGUCAAUUACAUAGUCUCUCAACAUAUCCUCAAGGGUCUUAAUGGUGCAUUCAUCUUGUCCAUUAGUCUAACGGUGAAAGACGGUACUCAAGUUCACUUGGAUGCCUAAACCUCUCUGAAAACAUCGCCAAAACUAUGAAGAAAAUUGCAUACCUCGGUCAGAUAUAAUAGACAUCGGAGUACCAUGCAAAUAGACUAUAUCUCGAAUGUACAAUCUAGCAUAGUCAUCCCCCAAUAAAUCAUCCACACCAAAAGAAAAUGAGCGGACUUGGUCAUCCGUUCUACAGUCACCCAAAUGGAGUCAUAUUGGUAUCGGGACUUCAGAAGCCCUAUAAUGAAGUACAUGUUAAUCAUUUCCCACUUCCACAUAGGCAGAGCUAUCUCUUAGGAAGAGCACCUAGCCUCAAAUGUUCUACCUUGACUUGUUGACAAUUCAAACACUUAGAAAAAAAAUUAGCAACAUCACAUUACAUGUUGUUCAACCAACAAAUAUCCUUAAGGUCAUGAUACAUUUUUGUGGAACCUGGGUGAACGACAUACCUUGAAGUGUGAGCUUCAUCAAGAAUUCUCUCUCGUAAUCCAUCCAUAUUGGGCAUACAAUACCUACCAUGAUACCUCAAAAUACCAUCCCCUCUAAUUUCAAAUGCCAUUACCUUCUGUUGAACGAUAUCUUUCUUAAUCUGCAUCAAGAUAUGGUCUUCAGCCAACUUCCUUAACCUCAGCACAUAGAGAGGACUUUCUUAUCUCAUGAAUAAUUAAUCCCCCAUUUUCAAAACCCAGAAGUCGAACUCCCAAAUUUUCAAGAUGGUGAAUAACUCUUACCAUCUCUCUAUUUCUUUUCUUAACAUGAGAUAGAUUUCCCAUUGACAACCUACUAAAAGUGUCAGCCACCACAUUGGCCUUGCUUAGGUGAUAGUGCAGGCUCAUAUCAUAAUCCUUCAAUAGUUUUAGCCACCGCCUCUGCCUGAGAUUUAGUUUUUUUUAUGUGAAAAGUUACUACAAACUUUUUUGAUCAGUGAAUAUAUCAACAUGCACCUCAUACAGAUAAUGCUGCCAGAUCUUAAGUGCAAACACCACAACUGCUAUCUCUAAGUCAUGAGUGGGAUAAUAUUUCCCAUGCACCUUUAACUGUCUAGAUGCAUACAUGACCACCUUACCAUGUUGCAUGAGAACACACCGUAGUCCUACCCGGGACGCAUCAUAAUACACCAUAAAGCCCUCUGUAACCUCAGGAAAGGUCAAAAUUGGUACGAUCGUCAACUUGUCUUUAAUUUCUCGAAGCUAUUCUCACAAGAGUCACACCACAAGAAUUUUGAUUUCUUUUGAGUCAAUUUAGUAAGUUGAACUGCUAUGGAGGAAAAAUGUCAUAACCCAAGCUGGGGCCCUGGCCGCGACAAGCAUCCCGAACCAUGAAGGCCCGGGUGACCCAUUCUAUAUGGAAAUCAUAAACACCAUUCACAUACAAUAAGAACAAAUAUGGAAAGUAAACAAAUGGAAUCAUGGUCUUGUUCUGAAUUCAAUUUAACAAAACUGAAUAAAAUACAUAAGUAUCUAGACAAUAUAUACUUCAGUCUGCGAAAUCUCUAAUACAUCUUAAAUUAAUAGCUUGUCUAAAAAUGGGAUACGUCCCACAGUCAAACCAUGAAUAAAAAUAAAAUAACAAUAACAAGUUCAAAUACAAUCCUUCCAAAGUAAAGGAGGCUCACCAACUACAAACUUUUGACAAGUCAAUCUACUACUUAACAGAACCCAGGACUGUCUCAGAAUCCUGAAAUAUAGGGGGUCAAUACAGAUAUACUAGUAUACAGCGCCAUUUAAAAUAACGUAUUUAUAUAUAUAUAUAUAUAUAUAUAUAUAAAAUAGGUGAGAGCAAGUCAUGAAACAUCAUGCAUGUAAUAGUUAAAAACACAUGGGAAAUCCUUUGAAAAUCAUAAAAAAAAAUGUUAUAAUGUGGUUCUAGUCUUUGUAUUACUUCUAAGUUAGGUGGUAUACCCUACAACUCUGAAAUUCCAUGGGCUAUAUGGAAUCUGCCCUUAACUCGGCAGAAAAGCCCCCAACCCGAGGUUGCCACAAGGUUUGGAGUCUCUAUCUCUUUUACACCACAAGGCACUAGGCCAGCUUAUAAUCCUUCUAGGGGACAUAAUAACCCAUAUCGGCAAAACACAGUUUCGGGCAAUGAAUUUUCUAAAGUUGUACCUUCUUCGGGUAACCACCUAACAUCUUUUUGUGCCCAUUUUUAACCUUUUUUAAAAAUGCACCUUUCUAAAUUUAAAUCUAUAAAUUUAAGUGAAAUUUGAUUCUAUUCUAUUCUAAGUCUGUUAUGUCAUUAUCUGCUUUGGUGUCAUCACACCAAUACUUGCAAGUCAUGUUUGAGCCAUUCAAUAUAAUAUUACAGUCUUCACUUUGAGAACAUUAUUUUCAGGCCACCAAACUAUUCAAAUAUUAUAAGAGGAUGCAUAUAGUGAAAUUCAUGAAAACAUAAAGAUCCCCAAUUUCAAUUCACAAACACGUGGUGGUCACUUCUCGUGUAAUAAACCAUGAAAUUCUUUCAUUAAUCUUAUUUGGCAUUUACAAACCAUAAAAUGCUUAUAAAAUACAAAAUCGCCCUCUCUUUAAUUAACAGACUAGAUCAAGUUCAAAACAAUAUUUAAAAGACAUAUCUUAUGCUUUCAAUCAUGAAAUAUCACAACCCAUAACAUGUGAAGUCAAGAAAUAAUGCAACACGAGAAGGGUUUAAUCAUUCACGCUCUGAAUUUAAUCCUGCUAAACUGAAAAUCCAUACUUACAUAUAUACAUACAAAAAUCAAUUUCAAGGGGAGGCCACAAGUCCAAAACAACUUGUAUAUAUCAAUAAAAAGGUUUCCAUUAUUGGGAUAUCCAAAACAAUUAUUCAAAUCCUCAUUAUAAACACCAUAACAUGCUUUCAAAGAUCAACAAAACCAUAGUUUAUGCCCAUAGAGUUUUAAUAAUAGCCCCACGUACCUUAGACUAUAUAAUUUUAAAGAUGAAACCCGGAUCUUGAUAGAUGGAACACGGAUGUUGAUUUAUUUUCUUGGAAUUCUUGAUCUUAUGGAUGAGCUCUUGGUCUUUGGUGAAAGUAUUAGGGUUGGAUUUUUGAGAGGAAUUGGGUAAUGAGGCAUAUAAUGCCUUUGAGUAAUGAAUUUUACGGGUUAUGGGUGGAUUUUGGGUGAUAUAAAUUGUCCUUUGGAUGUUUGAGGGUUUAGGGGAAAAGACCAAAGUGCCCCAUGACCCUUACGAAGCUCAAACUGUGUAGGAAUAGCACCCACAUCGCGACCCCUAGUUUGGUCAAGUAGCCCUUGCAUCAUGCGGCUAUCGCAACCCCUUACUGCCUCAUAAAAAAAAUGGCAUAACUUUUCACUCGGUUAGCGGAUUUAGGCAAAAUUUCUAUCAUUGGAAAGAUAAUUCGAUAAUCAACAAUUUGGUGGGUCUUUAUCUGCCAAAUUCUAUAUAUAUAAAAAGUUAUACUCAUUCAAAGAUGACCCUUGUAGAAUCAAAUAUCCAAAUUUUGAUGAAUGAAGGGUUCUUAGCUCAGCUUUGCUUUAGGCAAUUUCUAUGAACAUUUUUCACCUCAUAAUCACUUCAUCUACUGUGAGAAAGAUCAGGAUACAUGAAUUUAAAUAAAAACCAUUUACUUAGAGGUUACACAUGAAGGAACAACGGUUUUAUUUGUAGCUCGAAAAUGCGGAUGUUACAUUAUCUCCCACUUGGGAUCAUUUGCCCCCGAAUGAUGGUUUACAAACCAUAAAAUGCUUAUAAAGAAAAAAAAUUGCCCUCUCUUCAAAUCACAGAAUAGAUCAAUUUCAUAACAAUAUUUACAACACAUAUCUCAUGCUUUCAAUCGUGAAAUAUCACAAACCAUAACAUGUGAAGUCAAGAAAUAAUGUAAUAUAAGAGUGGUUUAAUCAUUCAUGCUCUCAAUUUAAUCUUUAUGAACUGAAAUGAAUACUUACAUAUAUACGCACAAAAAUAAUUUCAAGGGGAGGCCUCAAGGCCAUAACAACAUGUAUAUAUCAAUAAAAUGAUUUCCAUUAUUGGGCUAUUCAAAACAAUUGUUCAAACCCUUGUUCCAAACAUCAUAACAUGCUUUCAAAGACUAACAAAACCAUAAUUUAUGCCCAUUAAGUUUUAAGGACAUCCCCACGUACCUUAGACUAUAAAAUUUGAAAGAUUGAACCAGGAUCUUGAUAGAUGGAACACGAAGCUUGUUUUUUUUCUUGGAAUUCAUAAUCUUAAGGAUUAUUUAUUUAUCUUUGGGGAAAGGAUUAGGGUUGGAUUUUUGAGAGUAAUUGGGUAAUGAGGCAUAGCAUGCCUUUGGGGAAUGAAUUUUAAGGGUUAUAGGUGGAUUUUGGGUGAUAUAAAUCAUCCUUUGGACGUUUGGCGGUUUAGGGGAAAGGACCAAAGUGCCCCAUGACCCUUAUGAAGCUGAAACUGUGUGGGAAUACCCCCUACAUCGGGACCCCUAGUUGGGUCAAGUAGCCCUCGCGUCACGGGGCUAUCACGACCCCUUACAGCCUCACACAAAAAGUGGCAUAAAUUUUUACUCAAUUAGUGGAUUUAGGCAAAUUGGUAACGUUGGAAAUCCAAUUCAAUUAUCUACAAUUUGAUGGGUCUUAAUAUGCCAAAUUAUAUAUAUAGAAAAAGUUAAACUAAUUCAAAGAUGACCCUUGUAGAAUCGAAUAUCCAGAUUUUAAUCAAUGAAGGGUUCUUAGCUCAACUUUUCUUUAAUCCAUUUAUAUGAAUAUUUUUCACCUAAUAAUCACUUCAUGUACUUGGAGAAAGAUUAGGAUACAUGAAUUUAAAUAAAAAUCAUGGACUUAGAGCUUACACAGAUAGGAAUGAUGGUUCGAUUUCUAGCUCAAUAAUACGGGUGUUACAAAAAACUCUCUACAAACCUUCUAUAAUACCCUGCCAGACCCAAGAAGCUCUAGAUGUCAGUUGGAGUCGUAGGCCUGGGCCAUUUAAUCACUGCCUCAACCUUUUGGGGGUCAACUUUGAUCCCCACACUUGAAAUAAUUUGCCCCGAGAAAGCAAUAGCACUAAGACUAAAUUCACAUUUGGAAAACUUUUCAUAUAAUUCAUGAUCUUUGAGGGUCUGAAAGAUAAUUUAGAGGUGAUUGGCAUACUCCUCCCCACUCUUAAAGUAAACCAGGAUAUCAUCUAUAAAGACUAUGACAAACAGAUAUGGAAACUAAUAAAACUCCUUAUUUAUUAUUUCCAUAAAAGUUGCAGGGUCAUUAGUCAGUCCAAAGGACAUAACUAAGAAACCAUAAUGGCUAUAUCAGGCUCGAAAAGCCGUUUUAGGAAUGUCAGCCUCCCUAACCUUCAACUGAUGAUACACUGAACGAAAAUCUAUCUUUGAGAAUCAUUUGUCACCUUGGAGUUGGUCAAAAAGAUCAUCUAUUCUAGGGAGAGGGUAUUUAUUUUUAACAGUGACCUUAAUCACCUGACGAUAAUCUAUACAUAGAUGAAGUGAACCGUCA
rnacentral:lncRNA from 1 species